GACGAACGCUGGCGGCGUGCUUAACACAUGCAAGUCGAACGGAAAGGCCCUGCUUUUGUGGGGUGCUCGAGUGGCGAACGGGUGGGUAACACGUGAGUAACCUGCCCUUGACUUUGGGAUAACUUCAGGAAACUGGGGCUAAUACCGGAUAGGAGCUCCUGCUGCAUGGUGGGGGUUGGAAAGUUUCGGCGGUUGGGGAUGGACUCGGGGCUUAUCAGCUUGUUGGUGGGGUAGUGGCUUACCAAGGCUUUGACGGGUAGCCGGCCUGAGAGGGUGACCGGCCACAUUGGGACUGAGAUACGGCCCAGACUCCUACGGGAGGCAGCAGUGGGGAAUAUUGCACAAUGGGCGGAAGCCUGAUGCAGCAACGCCGCGUGCGGGAUGACGGCCUUCGGGUUGUAAACCGCUUUCGCCUGUGACGAAGCGUGAGUGACGGUAAUGGGUAAAGAAGCACCGGCUAACUACGUG
rnacentral:rRNA from 1 species